CCUACGGGUGGCAGCAGUGGGGAAUAUUGCACAAUGGGGGAAACCCUGAUGCAGCGACGCCGCGUGAGUGAAGAAGUAUUUCGGUAUGUAAAGCUCUGUCAGCAGGGAAGAAAAUGACGGUACCUGCCCAAGAAGCCCCGGCUAACUACGUGCCAGCAGCCGCGGUAAUACGUAGGGGGCAAGCGUUAUUCGGAUUUACUGGGUUUAAAGGGAGCGUAGACGGCAGGGCAAGUCUGGAGUGAAAGGCGGGGGCUCAACCCCCGGACUGCUCUGGAAACUGCCAGGCUGGAGUGCAGGAGAGGUAAGUGGAAUUCCUAGUGUAGCGGUGAAAUGCGUAGAUAUUAGGAGGAACACCAGUGGCGAAGGCGGCUUACUGGACUGUAACUGACGUUGAGGCUCGAAAGCGUGGGGAGCAAACAGGAUUAGAUACCCUUGUAGUC
rnacentral:rRNA from 1 species